AUUGAACGCUGGCGGCAGGCCUAACACAUGCAAGUCGAGCGGAUGAAGGGAGCUUGCUCCUGGAUUCAGCGGCGGACGGGUGAGUAAUGCCUAGGAAUCUGCCUGGUAGUGGGGGAUAACGUCCGGAAACGGGCGCUAAUACCGCAUACGUCCUGAGGGAGAAAGUGGGGGAUCUUCGGACCUCACGCUAUCAGAUGAGCCUAGGUCGGAUUAGCUAGUUGGUGGGGUAAAGGCCUACCAAGGCGACGAUCCGUAACUGGUCUGAGAGGAUGAUCAGUCACACUGGAACUGAGACACGGUCCAGACUCCUACGGGGGGCAGCAGUGGGGAAUAUUGGACGAUGGGCGAAAGCCUGAUCCAGCCAUGCCGCGUGUGUGAAGAAGGUCUUCCGAUUGGAAAGCACUUUAAGUUGGGAGGAAGGGCAGUAAGUUAAUACCUUGCUGUUUUGACGUUACCAACAGAAUAAGCACCGGCUAACUUCGUG
rnacentral:rRNA from 1 species